UUUGAAGCGAUGCUAAUACGCCUUUUAUUUAUUUAUUUAUUUAUUAAAGUAGUCUAACACAACAACCACAGGUUAUAUUUCAGUGUUAGAUACUGAGAAUAUUACAAUAUAAUACGAUAUUAAAAUGUAUAAAAUUUGAACUUAACAUCUAAAACUUAUAAAAUUAUUCAUAAAGUGUAAGAUUGAAGAGAAUAAAGAAAAAUACAGUAAUUUAGCGGUUAGAGUUGAGGUGACUGACGCGAGUUAAAUAGUUACAAAUUUUCAUUUAGUCAGCAUAGUGUCUAAGUAAUGCUAUUUUAAAGUGCAAUGUGUCCUUAAUAGCCCUGAGUUUAAGGGGUAAUUUGUUCCAUAGGCGAAUAGUAUAGACGAAAAACUGACGCUCAGAUAUGACAGAAUUGAAUUUCAGGUGCAAAAGCUGUUGUAAUCGUGACGAUUGAGUAAUUUGAAGACGAUUUUUGAGAUGCGGAUGCUCCUCUGAGAAUAAGAUUUUCUGAAGCAUUGUAAGGCACUUGAGCUUCAGCAUAUCGUCGAGUGAUAUUGAAGUUAUAUUACGAGCCCAUUGUGAAAUGUGGUCAUACCGUUUUUUGCUAUAUAUAUACCUGGCGAUGUUAUUGUAAAGCACGUGGAGUUUUUUAUUGCAUUGACUAUCGCUGUUAGCAUAGAGUUCGCAACCGUACAACAGCGUUGGUAGCAAGUAAGAUUUCGCGAUUAACAUUCUAGUGGGCAUCGGCGUUAGGUGUUGUGUUGACCAUAAAUACCUUAGCAUAGCAUAUACUCUACCAAUUGUGCUAUAGACAUGAUUAUCCCACGUUAGUGUUCUGUUAAAUAGUACGCCCAGGUUCUUAGCUACAUCAACAUAUGGUAUCACAGUUCUGUUCAAUGAAACUGUAUCAUAAACGUUGAGGUCAAAAUGUUUUUUAAAAAUAGCAAUACAUUGGGAUUUGUUUGGAUUUAAGACCAAACCAUUGUUACUUGCCCACUCGUGAACGAGGUCUAAAUCACUAUUGAGGUUCUGUAUGCAUAGGUUCAAUGAGUGAAGUGGGCAGCUCAAAUACAAUUGCACAUCAUCAGCGUACAUUUGAAUUUUAUUGUGCUUUAAUACCUUCGGCAGAUCGUUGAUGUACAAAACAAACAGUAAGGGGCCGAGAAUCGACCCUUGAGGAACUCCUUUAGAUAUGGAAAGAGAACUUGACAUUGCAUUGCCUAUGUUGACUGCUUGCGAUCGGCCGAAAAGAUAUGAGCUAAUUAGGUUUACAGCCGAAGAUGAGAACUGAAAUAAAUUCUUUAAUUUGAGACACAGUAGUUUGUGAUUUACUGUAUUAAAAGCUUUGGAGUGGUCAAGAAGAGUGAGCAAGGUUACGCGAUUAUUGUCCAUAUUUAUUCUAAUGUCAUCUGAAACGGUAAGAAGCGAAAGGGUACAGCUUUUCUUAUGCCUGAAGCCAGAUUGGUAAGCGCUGACCAGGGAAUUUUUAGAUAUAAACGAGUCAAUCUGCUGAUGCAUUAUGCGUUCUAAGACUUUAGAUAGAUAUGGGAGAAUCGCAAUAGGUCUGUAGUCACCAUUUGAUUUCAGAAUGGGUAUUAUUUUGGCUUUUUUCCAGCAGUUGGGGAAGACAGCUGAUGUAAGAAUGUUAUUUAUUGCGUAGGUAAUAUAUGGAAGAAGUUUCGGGAGCAAACAUUUGAAAAACUUCGGAUGAAUGUCAUCCAAACCAGCGGCGUUGGAUUUUAUAGACAGUACUGACUGGACAACGUCACACUCAUCAACACAAUUAAAGCUGAAGUUUGACAGCGACCUAUACGGAUUACAGUUAUAGCGCUCAUAGGCAAUAUUUUCAAAAGUAUUCGAGGAGUCAAGGAACUGCUUAUUUAAAUCAUUUACAUUUACAGAAUCAAGGAAUUGUG